rnacentral:rRNA from 1 species
AUACGUAGGGUGCGAGCGUUGUCCGGAAUUACUGGGCGUAAAGAGCUCGUAGGUGGUUUGUCGCGUUGUCUGUGAAAUUCCGGGGCUUAACUCCGGGCGUGCAGGCGAUACGGGCAUAACUUGAGUACUGUAGGGGAGACUGGAAUUCCUGGUGUAGCGGUGAAAUGCGCAGAUAUCAGGAGGAACACCGGUGGCGAAGGCGGGUCUCUGGGCAGUAACUGACGCUGAGGAGCGAAAGCAUGGGUAGCGAACAGGAUUAGAUACCCUGGUAGUCCAUGCCGUAAACGGUGGGCGCUAGGUGUAGGGGUCUUCCACGACUUCUGUGCCGUAGCUAACGCAUUAAGCGCCCCGCCUGGGGAGUACGGCCGCAAGGCUAAAACUCAAAUGAAUUGACGGGG